UUUGUUUAUUCAAAAACAAACAAAAAAUAGUCUGUGAAUGUACCGAGUGGGUUGUAGUCACUUACCUUGUCCAUUUCCCUGUCUGGAUUGCAAAUUUGAAUCUUUUCCUAUGGUGAGAGAGACUUGAAAGAUAAAUUUUUCUGUGUGUGUAUGUGACUUAAUACAUACAAUAAUAUGGAUAAAUAGAAUGGUGUGGCACAAUUUGGUUACAAUCUGACAUGACUACUGCCUUA
rnacentral:lncRNA from 1 species